AGCGGUAGAUGACAGAAUGACAGCGGUAGAUGACAGAAUGACAGCGGUAGACGACAGAAUGACAGCGGUAGACGACAGAAUGACAGCGGUAGAUGACAGAAUGACAGCGGUAGAUGACAGAAUGACAGCGGUAGAUGACAGGAGCUUGACAGACGACAAUUUGCAUAACAUAGUCGUUGCCGUCGUUGAUAAUUUGACACAUUGUCCCAUUUUGACAGUUCAACUUCGUUAAUUCUAUCUACGUGCUUCUUAGGUGACGAUAAGCCUUGUCGUGAAAGCAAAAUUAUUGAAUAAACCAAUUUUAAGGUAUAAAUUACGGGUAAAUAUCAGUUUUUCUAUGAUAUUGAGUUAUUAGUUACAAUGUUCCGCUGUAUAUAUAUAUUGUCAAUUUUUUCUUUGCAGGAAAGUCAAAUUUUAUUAUUCCUACUCGCGGAUGCUGUUAAAGAAAAAGAGCGUCUAAAAAUCUCGUGCAUAGCUUUAUCAAGACACUCUUACAACCCGUCUGAUAUGCCAGACGAAGAAUUUCGGGCAUUUCGCAUAUUUACAGUUAUGUGCCGAACUUAACGCCGAGCCUCAAAAGUCAAAACGGUGAUGGAUUACUAAAACACCUAAAGGUUCUAACAGGUGUAAUAACACCUGCUAGCUGAUGGCAACUAGUCCAUUGGUCAGACUACUGUGAGCCAGUAGCUAUUGAAGCAAUUUGUAAUAGCUGUAAAUAGAAGAAAACUUCUCUUGGAUCAAGGGAGAAAUUAAGGAAGGCGCUCCUCAAGGACUUCCUAAGCAUCAUGCACAAAACCGGCUGUUACUAAGAGUGUGCGCUUGCGAGUUGCUAGCGAGCUUAAUAAAUACAUACUUAUGUCGCCUAUGUUUUACU